UCCUGCUUCCAAACACCUGUAUUUCGCCUUAGCCCUGUAUUUUUGCGUUUUUGAGCUGUAUAUCAUUGUAUAAUGAGUGUAUACUGCCGCAUACAAUAUGUAUACAACCCAUUUCUUGGGCUUUGAACAUUUAUGAACUAAUUUCCAGCCCUGUGACUCGGUUUUAUUUGCCCGGCUGACUUGAACAAUGAAGAAAAGGAAUAAAUUGAGCCUUUAUGGCUCGACUAGAGAGUGCUUAGGAGGAGAAGUCCACCAUGGACUCGGAAGGGGUUCAUACAACAAACAAAAGAAGAAAAAGUUAGCAUGUGAACAAAGGAAAUAGUUAAGUGAUUUAAAUUUUUAAUAAGGCAAAUUAGGUACUUCAAAAUGAAGAGGC
rnacentral:lncRNA from 1 species